UACGUAGGCAGCAAGCGUUGUUCGGAGUUACUGGGCGUAAAGGGCGCGUAGGCGGCUGGGGAAGUCGGCGGUGAAAGCCCGGAGCUCAACUCCGGGUCGGCCGUCGAGACUCCUCGGCUCGAGCUCACUAGAGGCAGAUGGAAUUCCGGGUGUAGCGGUGGAAUGCGUAGAGAUCCGGAAGAACACCGGUGGCGAAGGCGGUCUGCUGGGGUGAGGCUGACGCUGAUGCGCGACAGCGUGGGGAGCAAACAGG
rnacentral:rRNA from 1 species